rnacentral:miRNA from 1 species
ACUGGCGUCCGUUGCAGGGAU